GGGCCCGUAGCUCAGUUUGGUCAGAGCAGCUGACUCAUAAUCAGCGGGUCGUCCGUUCAAGCCGGACCGGGCCCA
rnacentral:tRNA from 1 species